GACGAACGCUGGCGGCGUGCUUAACACAUGCCAGUCGAACGGUGAAGCGCCUUCCUUUUUGGCUGGUGUGGAGGAGUGGCGAACGGGUGAGUAACACGUGAGUAACCUGCCCCCUUCUUCUGGAUAACCUCAUGAAAGUGUCGCUAAUACGGGAUAUUCUGUGUCUGUCGCAUCAUGGGUCUUGGGAAGAUUUUGUUUCGGUGGGGGAUGGGCUCGCGGCGUAUCAGCUUGUUGGUGGGGGGCUGGCCUACCAAGGCGGCGACGCGUAGCCGGCCUGAGGGGAGGGUCGGCCGCACUGGAGGGGAGAAACGGCCCAGACGCCUACGGGAGGCAGCAGUGGGGAGGAUUGGAGGAUGGGGGGAAGAAUGAUCCAGCCAUGCCGCGUGGGGGAAGAAGGAGGUCGGGGGGUUGAGACCUUCUGUUGCGAGUGAAGAAGGCCUGGCUCGUAUGUGGGUGUGUUGACGGUACCUGGAUAAGAAGCGCCGGCUAACUACGUG
rnacentral:rRNA from 1 species